GGCUAGGGGGUCAUCCCGACUUACCAAACCGAUGCAAACUCCGAAUACCGAGAGUGAUAUCCGGGAGACAGACAGCGGGUGCUAACGUCCGUUGUCAAGAGGGAAACAACCCAGACCGCCAGCUAAGGUCCCAAAAUAGAUUAAGUGGUAAACGAUGUGGGAAGGCAAAAAGCAGACCAGGAGGUUGGCUUAGAAGCAGCCACACUUUAAAGAAAGCGUAAUAGCUCACUAGUCGAGUCGGCCUGCGCGGAAGAUGUAACGGGGCUCAAAUCUAUAACCGAAGCUGCGGAUGCCAGUUUACUGGCAUGGUAGGGGAGCGUUCUGUAGGCCGAUGAAGGUGCAUUGUAAAGUGUGCUGGAGGUAUCAGAAGUGCGAAUGUUGACAUGAGUAGCGAUAAAGCGGGUGAAAAGCCCGCUCGCCGAAAGCCCAAGGUUUCCUACGCAACGUUCAUCGGCGUAGGGUGAGUCGGCCCCUAAGGCGAGGCAGAAAUGCGUAGUCGAUGGGAAACGGGUUAAUAUUCCCGUACUUCUAGUUACUGCGAUGGAGGGACGGAGAAGGCUAGGCCAGCACGGCGUUGGUUGUCCGUGUUUAAGGUGGUAGGCUGAGAUCUUAGGUAAAUCCGGGAUCUUAAGGCCGAGAGCUGAUGACGAGCGUUCUUUUAGAAUGCGAAGUGGUUGAUGCCAUGCUUCCAGGAAAAGCUUCUAAGCUUCAGGUAACUAGGAACCGUACCCCAAACCGACACAGGUGGUUAGGUAGAGAAUACCAAGGCGCUUGAGAGAACUCUGCUGAAGGAACUAGGCAAAAUGGUACCGUAACUUCGGGAGAAGGUACGCUGCCGAUGGUGAGUAGUCACGCACUACAAAGCUAUUGGCAGUCGCAGAUACCAGGCCGCUGCAACUGUUUAUUAAAAACACAGCACUCUGCAAACACGAAAGUGGACGUAUAGGGUGUGAUGCCUGCCCGGUGCUGGAAGGUUAAUUGAUGGGGUUAGCGUAAGCGAAGCUCUUGAUCGAAGCCCCAGUAAACGGCGGCCGUAACAAUAACGGUCCUAAGGUAGCGAAAUUCCUUGUCGGGUAAGUUCCGACCUGCACGAAUGGCAUAAUGAUGGGGGCGCUGUCUCCAGCAGAGACUCAGUGAAAUCGAAAUCGCAGUGAAGAUGCUGUGUACCCGCGGAAAGACGGAAAGACCCCGUGAACCUUUACUACAGCUUUACAUUGAACUUUGACCUUACCUGUGUAGGAUAGGUGGGAGGCUUUGAAGCCGAGACGCUAGUUUCGGUGGAGCCAAUCUUGAAAUACCACCCUGGUAACCUUGAGGUUCUAACUCUGGUCCGUUAUCCGGAUCGAGGACCAUGUCUGGUGGGUAGUUUGACUGGGGCGGUCUCCUCCUAAAGAGUAACGGAGGAGUACGAAGGUGCGCUCAGAACGGUCGGAAAUCGUUCGUAGAGUAUAAAGGCAAAAGCGCGCUUAACUGCGAGACCCACAAGUCGAGCAGAUACGAAAGUAGGUCUUAGUGAUCCGGUGGUUCUGUAUGGAAGGGCCAUCGCUCAACGGAUAAAAGGUACUCUGGGGAUAACAGGCUGAUACCGCCCAAGAGUUCAUAUCGACGGCGGUGUUUGGCACCUCGAUGUCGGCUCGUCGCAUCCUGGGGCUGGAGCAGGUCCCAAGGGUUGGGCUGUUCGCCCAUUAAAGUGGUACGUGAGCUGGGUUUAAAACGUCGUGAGACAGUUCGGUCC
rnacentral:rRNA from 1 species